AGUAUCUCCAUUUGUCUGAGGCCAAACCAGGUUUCCCAGAGACUAUGGGUUGAGGAGGAAGUGGAAGUUUGUCGGCUUAGACCUGGUGUCAUUCCAUCAGUGUUAAACUUCCCGGCUCAUCUUGGAAGAGUACGUGCCAGAAAGACCACGACCAAGCAGCCUUGAGAUCUUAGGCAGCGUCUCCCUCAGGUCCCUCUCUAUCUCCCCACACAUCCACCAACCACUGGAACACAUCUCCAAAGUUCUGCCAGGCCAGCUCAGCUUCCCCUCAGAAGAAGUGCCGCCACCUGCCAGAUGAAGGAGCCUUUUGGGAGGCAGCUGGCAUCGUGAUUGGAC
ensembl:lncRNA